UGACUGCGUACCUUUUGUAUAAUGGGUCAGCGACUUAUAUUCUGUAGCAAGGUUAACCGAAUAGGGGAGCCGCAGGGAAACCGAGUCUUAAUUGGGCGUUAAGUUGCAGGGUAUAGACCCGAAACCCGGUGAUCUAGCCAUGGGCAGGUUGAAGGUUGGGUAACACUAACUGGAGGACCGAACCGACUAAUGUUGAAAAAUUAGCGGAUGACCUGUGGCUGGGGGUGAAAGGCCAAUCAAACCGGGAGAUAGCUGGUUCUCCCCGAAAGCUAUUUAGGUAGCGCCUCGUGAAUUCAUCUCCGGGGGUAGAGCACUGUUUCGGCUAGGGGGCCAUCCCGGCUUACCAACCCGAUGCAAACUGCGAAUACCGGAGAAUGUUAUCACGGGAGACACACGGCGGGUGCUAACGUCCGUCGUGAAGAGGGAAACAACCCAGACCGCCAGCUAAGGUCCCAAAGUCAUGGUUAAGUGGGAAACGAUGUGGGAAGGCCCAGACAGCCAGGAUGUUGGCUUAGAAGCAGCCAUCAUUUAAAGAAAGCGUAAUAGCUCACUGGUCGAGUCGGCCUGCGCGGAAGAUGUAACGGGGCUAAACCAUGCACCGAAGCUGCGGCAGCGACGCUGAUGCGUUGUUGGGUAGGGGAGCGUUCUGUAAGCCUGUGAAGGUGUGUCGUGAGGCAUGCUGGAGGUAUCAGAAGUGCGAAUGCUGACAUAAGUAACGAUAAAGCGGGUGAAAAGCCCGCUCGCCGGAAGACCAAGGGUUCCUGUCCAACGUUAAUCGGGGCAGGGUGAGUCGACCCCUAAGGCGAGGCCGAAAGGCGUAGUCGAUGGGAAACGGGUUAAUAUUCCCGUACUUGGUGUUACUGCGAAGGGGGGACGGAGAAGGCUAUGUUGGCCGGGCGACGGUUGUCCCGGUUUAAGCGUGUAGGUGUGUGUUCCAGGUAAAUCCGGUUCACUUUAACACUGAGGCGUGAUGACGAGGCACUACGGUGCUGAAGCAACAAAUGCCCUGCUUCCAGGAAAAGCCUCUAAGCAUCAGGUAACAUCAAAUCGUACCCCAAACCGACACAGGUGGUCAGGUAGAGAAUACCAAGGCGCUUGAGAGAACUCGGGUGAAGGAACUAGGCAAAAUGGUGCCGUAACUUCGGGAGAAGGCACGCUGACACGUAGGUGAAGUGAUUUACUCACGGAGCUGAAGUCAGUCGAAGAUACCAGCUGGCUGCAACUGUUUAUUAAAAACACAGCACUGUGCAAACACGAAAGUGGACGUAUACGGUGUGACGCCUGCCCGGUGCCGGAAGGUUAAUUGAUGGGGUCAGCGCAAGCGAAGCUCCUGAUCGAAGCCCCGGUAAACGGCGGCCGUAACUAUAACGGUCCUAAGGUAGCGAAAUUCCUUGUCGGGUAAGUUCCGACCUGCACGAAUGGCGUAAUGAUGGCCAGGCUGUCUCCACCCGAGACUCAGUGAAAUUGAACUCGCUGUGAAGAUGCAGUGUACCCGCGGCAAGACGGAAAGACCCCGUGAACCUUUACUAUAGCUUGACACUGAACAUUGAGCCUUGAUGUGUAGGAUAGGUGGGAGGCUUUGAAGUGUGGACGCCAGUCUGCAUGGAGCCGACCUUGAAAUACCACCCUUUAAUGUUUGAUGUUCUAACGUGGACCCGUAAUCCGGGUUGCGGACAGUGUCUGGUGGGUAGUUUGACUGGGGCGGUCUCCUCCUAAAGAGUAACGGAGGAGCACGAAGGUUGGCUAAUCCUGGUCGGACAUCAGGAGGUUAGUGCAAUGGCAUAAGCCAGCUUGACUGCGAGCGUGACGGCGCGAGCAGGUGCGAAAGCAGGUCAUAGUGAUCCGGUGGUUCUGAAUGGAAGGGCCAUCGCUCAACGGAUAAAAGGUACUCCGGGGAUAACAGGCUGAUACCGCCCAAGAGUUCAUAUCGACGGCGGUGUUUGGCACCUCGAUGUCGGCUCAUCACAUCCUGGGGCUGAAGUAGGUCCCAAGGGUAUGGCUGUUCGCCAUUUAAAGUGGUACGCGAGCUGGGUUUAGAACGUCGUGAGACAGUUCGGUCCCUAUCUGCCGUGGGCGCUGGAGAACUGAGGGGGGCUGCUCCUAGUACGAGAGGACCGGAGUGGACGCAUCACUGGUGUUCGGGUUGUCAUGCCAAUGGCACUGCCCGGUAGCUAAAUGCGGAAGAGAUAAGUGCUGAAAGCAUCUAAGCACGAAACUUGCCCCGAGAUGAGUUCU
rnacentral:rRNA from 1 species